UAGACGAGUUUGAUCCUGGCUCAGGAUGAACGCUGGCGGCGUGCCUAAUACAUGCAAGUCGAACGAGGUGCUUGAGUAGCAAUACAAGAGUAUCCUAGUGGCGAACGGGUGAGUAACGCGUGGAUGACCUGCCCCAAAGUGUGGGAUAACAGUCCGAAAGGAUUGCUAAUACCUCAUGUGGUUAUCGGAUUUAGAAACUGAUAACUAAAGCAGCAAUGCGCUUUGGGAGGGAUCUGCGUCCCAUCAGCUAGUUGGUGAGGUAACGGCUCACCAAGGCGACGACGGGUAGGGGACCUGAGAGGGUGGCCCCCCACAAUGGAACUGAAACACGGUCCAUACACCUACGGGUGGCAGCAGUAGGGAAUAUUGCUCAAUGGGCGAAAGCCUGAAGCAGCAACGCCGCGUGUGCGAUGAAGGCCUUCGGGUCGUAAAGCACUUUUCUACGAGAUGAGAAAGGACAGUAUCGUAGGAAUAAGUCUCGGCUAACUACGUG
rnacentral:rRNA from 1 species